UACGUAGGGGGCAAGCGUUGUCCGGAAUUAUUGGGCGUAAAGAGCUCGUAGGCGGCUCGUCACGUCGGCUGUGAAAACCCGGGGCUCAACCCCGGGCCUGCAGUCGAUACGGGCGAGCUAGAGUUCGGCAGGGGAGACUGGAAUUCCUGGUGUAGCGGUGAAAUGCGCAGAUAUCAGGAGGAACACCGGUGGCGAAGGCGGGUCUCUGGGCCGACACUGACGCUGAGGAGCGAAAGCGUGGGGAGCGAACAGG
rnacentral:rRNA from 1 species